UGGGAUUUUAUGUUUCAGUUUCUGCCUUUUACCUGCACCUGGGGAACCUGUGAGCCUGGCCUCUUCUCUGCCAACGGAAGGACGCUGAACUAUGUCCAAAAAGAGAAAACAAUUGUGUGUGAAUAAUGAAUGCUGUGAACAUCAGGAUGCAGCUAUGUGUUCAGAUCCCUUUUUUCAGUUCCUUUGGGUAUAUAUCUAGAAGUGGGAUUUCUGGGUCAUAUGGAAAUGGAACACAAUAUCCAACAAUAAGAGUUGGACAGAUCCAAGUUGAUGCAGAAGUGGUGGAAAAUUCCAUCACCGUCUGAAUAUUUACCCCUUCUAAGAACACAGCACAACAUCUAUGGCUGACCUUCAGUCAGUGGGACACCGAGUUGGAAUGAUUUAAUCAAUCAAAAAUAUUGGCCAAACUUUUACCCUCUUAUACAGAAGCAGUCUUUCACAGGCAUUAUAUUCAUAUAUGGAAUCAUCUGAAAAGUACAUUUUGUGAGGACAGUCAUCUCCACAUCACUAUUGACACUUUGAAGUUCUCCGUAAGUUUGGAACUUAUGAAGCAUGGAUGUUUCUUCUUUGACAAAUGUCAGAACUGAAAUGACCUUCUGCUUGAAAAGUUCACCCGGAGAAUCAAUAGUAAACUCUGUC